rnacentral:tRNA from 1 species
GAUGGCUCAGUGGUAGAGCAUGUGCUUAACAUGCAAAAGGUCCCAGGUUCCAUCACUGGCA